rnacentral:precursor_RNA from 13 species
UGCUAACUUGCUCUUUAGAAAGUCUGCUGUUGUAAACAUCCCCGACUGGAAGCUGUACAACACAGCUGAGCUUUCAGUCAGAUGUUUGCUGCUGCUGGCUCUCACAGACAUCCUCGUGGCAC